rnacentral:rRNA from 1 species
UAAUGUAUGGGGAUCUGCCUGAUGGCGGGGGAUAACUACUGGAAACGGUAGCUAAUACCGCAUAACGUCGCAAGACCAAAGAGGGGGACCUUAGGGCCUCUUGCCAUCGGAUGUGCCCAGAUGGGAUUAGCUAGUAGGUGGGGUAAUGGCUCACCUAGGCGACGAUCCCUAGCUGGUCUGAGAGGAUGAUCAGCCACACUGGGACUGAGACACGGCCCAG